rnacentral:lncRNA from 1 species
CUUCUUCGACUCUCUCUUCUCAGUCACAGCUAAAAGUCAUGGGUCAAGGAACACCCGGCGGACUUAACCGGCAACAACCCGGCGACCGUAAGAACGACGGAGACAAGAAGGAGAAAAAGUUCGAACCUGCUGCACCACCGGCACGCGUCGGUCGGAAACAGCGCAAACAGAAAGGUUCCGAAGCAGCUGCACGACUUCCAACCGUUACGCCGUUAACAAAAUGUAAACUCCGGCUACUAAAGCUCGAGCGAAUCAAGGAUUACUUGUUAAUGGAAGAGGAAUUUGUGGCUAAUCAGGAACGAUUGAAACCUCAGGAAGAGAAAACGGAAGAGGACCGAUCUAAAGUAGACGAUCUACGUGGAUCUCCAAUGAGUGUAGGGAAUUUGGAGGAACUUAUUGAUGAGAAUCACGCUAUUGUUUCGUCGUCGGUCGGACCGGAGUAUUAUGUUGGAAUCUUAUCGUUUGUUGAUAAGGAUCAGCUUGAACCUGGAUGUGCUAUUUUGAUGCAUAACAAGGUAUUUGAGCUCUGUUAAUUUGUUUUUUUGAAAUAUUUGAUAGCCUUUUUGUUUUUUAGGGUUUCAUCUCGGUCUAAAGUUGACGAUCUACGUGGAUCUCCGAUGAGUGUGGGGAAUUUGGAGGAACUUAUUGAUGAGAAUCAUGCUAUUGUUUCGUCGUCGGUCGGGCCGGAGUAUUAUGUUGGAAUCUUAUCUUUUGUUGAUAAGGAUCAGCUGGAACCUGGAUGUGCUAUUUUGAUGC